AGCAGCCGCGGUAAUUCCAGCUCCAAUAGCGUAUAUUAAAGUUGUUGCAGUUAAAAAGCUCGUAGUUGAAUUUCGAGAUCAGUACGCUGGUCGUGCCUUCGGUAUGCACUGGUGUCACUGGUUUCUCCCUUCUGAAGAACCGUCAUGUCAUUAAGUUGAUGUGGCGGGGAAUCAGGACUGUUACUUUGAAAAAAUUAGAGUGUUUAAAGCAGGCUCGCGCUUGAAUACAUUAGCAUGGAAUAAUGAAAUAGGACGUUUGACCCUAUUUUGUUGGUUUCUAGGAUCGACGUAAUGAUUAAUAGGGAUAGUUGGGGGCAUUAGUAUUCAAUUGUCAGAGGUGAAAUUCUUGGAUUUAUUGAAGACUAACUACUGCGAAAGCAUUUGCCAAGGAUGUUUUCAUUAAUCAAGAACGAAAGUUAGGGGAUCGAAGACGAUCAGAUACCGUCGUAG
rnacentral:rRNA from 1 species